rnacentral:rRNA from 1 species
GAUGAACGCUGGCGGCGUGCCUAAUACAUGCAAGUCGAGCGAACAGACGAGGAGCUUGCUCCUCUGACGUUAGCGGCGGACGGGUGAGUAACACGUGGAUAACCUACCUAUAAGACUGGGAUAACUUCGGGAAACCGGAGCUAAUACCGGAUAAUAUAUUGAACCGCAUGGUUCAAUAGUGAAAGACGGUUUUGCUGUCACUUAUAGAUGGAUCCGCGCCGCAUUAGCUAGUUGGUAAGGUAACGGCUUACCAAGGCAACGAUGCGUAGCCGACCUGAGAGGGUGAUCGGCCACACUGGAACUGAGACACGGUCCAGACUCCUACGGGAGGCAGCAGUAGGGAAUCUUCCGCAAUGGGCGAAAGCCUGACGGAGCAACGCCGCGUGAGUGAUGGAGGUCUUCGGAUCGUAAAACUCUGUUAUUAGGGAGGAACAAAUGUGUAAGUAACUAUGCACGUCUUGACGGUACCUAAUCAGAAAGCCACGGCUAACUACGUG